GGGACCUUCUGGAGGCAGCGGCCGUUCUCCUCCCUGAUGAAGGCAGAAGAGGGGGCAGAGACCUCGGGAAGGCUCUGGGAACCACAGCUCCGGGCCAUCGAUCCGUCCAUCCAGAUGCAGAUCAAGAGACCCCACGUCCUGCCUCCAAGCCAAGGCGCUGCACAGCCCUAGCAUGCUCUGCUCCCAGCAGUGAGGCAGCAAGGGGGGCUCUGGGCACGGGAAGGGGAUGGCACAUACAGGGCUGUGGGACAUGGCUGCGCCAUGAGGACAUGGGUCACCAAAGCAACAGGACCUUCCGUUGAGGACCUGAAGAAGUGAUUGGGGUCAUCCAUAGGAG
rnacentral:lncRNA from 1 species